rnacentral:rRNA from 1 species
AUUGAACGCUAGCGGGAGGCUUUACACAUGCAAGUCGAACGAGUGGCGGACGGGUGAGUAAUAUAUCGGAACGUGCCCAGUAGCGGGGGAUAACUACUCGAAAGAGUGGCUAAUAACGCAUACUAGUGGAGAGGCCGAUAUCGGAUUAGCUAGUUGGAGGGGUAAAGGCUCACCAAGGCAACGAGCCGUAGCUGGUUUGAGAGGACGACCAGCCACACUGGGACUGAGACACGGCCCAGACUCCUACGGGAGGCAGCCGUGGGGAAUAUUGGACAAUGGGGGAAACCCUGAUCCAGCCAUCCCGCGUGUAUGAGAAGGCCUUCGGGUUUUAAAGUACUUUUGGCAGAGAAGCGGUAUCUGCAGAAUAAGCACCGGCUAACUACGUGCCAGCCGCCGCGGUAAUUC